GAUCCUGCCAGUAGUCAUAUGCUUGUCUCAAAGAUUAAGCCAUGCAUGUGCAAGUACACACCGCCUUAAGGUGAGACCGCGAAUGGCUCAUUAAAUCAGUUAUGGUUCAUUAGGUGAUUCCAAUCCUACUUGGAUAACUGUGGUAAUUCUAGAGCUAAUACAUGCCAGGAAGCUCCGACCUCCCGGGACGAGCGCUUUUAUUAGACCAAGACCAAUCGGGCCUCGUGUCCGUUUCCUUUGGUGACUCUGAAUAACCUUUUGAAGAUCGCAAGGUCUCGAACCGGCGACGCACCUUUCAAAUGUCUGCCUUAUCAACUGUCGAUGGUAGGUCAUGUGCCUACCAUGGUUGUAACGGGUAACGGAGAAUCAGGGUUCGACUCCGGAGAGGGAGCCUGAGAAACGGCUGCCACAUCCAAGGAAGGCAGCAGGCACGCAAAUUACCCACUCCCGGCACGGGGAGGUAGUGACGAAAAAUAACGAUGCGGGACUCUUCCGAGGCCCCGUAAUCGGAAUGAGUACACUUUAAAUCCUUUAACGAGGAUCAAUUGGAGGGCAAGUCUGGUGCCAGCAGCCGCGGUAAUUCCAGCUCCAAUAGCGUAUACUAAAGUUGUUGCGGCUAAAAAGCUCGUAGUUGGAUUUCAGUCGUAGGUCGGUGGUCCACCGCCCGGUGGCUACUGCCUGGCCUAGGCACCUUGCCGGCUCUCCCACGAUUCUCUUCACUGGGUGUCGUGGGUGGCCGGAACGUUUACUUUGAAAAAAUUAGAGUGCUCUAAGCAGGCGCCGCAGCCUGAAUAACACAGCAUGGAAUAAUGGAACAGGACCUUGGGUCUGUUUUGUUGGUCUUACGCCGCCAAGGUAAUGAUUAAUAGGGACGGACGGGGGCAUUCGUAUUGCGACGCUAGAGGUGAAAUUCUUGGACCGUCGCAAGACGAACUACUGCGAAAGCAUUUGCCAAGAACGUUUUCAUUAAUCAAGAACGAAAGUCAGAGGUUCGAAGGCGAUCAGAUACCGCCCUAGUUCUGACCAUAAACGAUGCCAACCAGCGAUCCGCCGGAGUUACUCCCAUGACUCGGCGGGCAGCUUCCGGGAAACCAAAGUGUUUGGGUUCCGGGGGAAGUAUGGUUGCAAAGCUGAAACUUAAAGGAAUUGACGGAAGGGCACCACCAGGAGUGGAGCCUGCGGCUUAAUUUGACUCAACACGGGACACCUCACCCGGCCCGGACACCGGAAGGAUUGACAGACUGAGAGCUCUUUCUUGAUUCGGUGGGUGGUGGUGCAUGGCCGUUCUUAGUUGGUGGAGCGAUCUGUCUGGUUAAUUCCGAUA
rnacentral:rRNA from 1 species